GAUGAAGAACGCAGCGAAAUGCGAUAAGUAGUGUGAAUUGCAGAAUUCAGUGAAUCAUCGAAUCUUUGAACGCACAUUGCGCCCCUUGGUAUCCCGAGGGGCAUGCCUGUUCGAGCGUCAUCUCACCACUCAAGCCUGGCUUGGUGUUGGGCGACGUCCCCUUUGGGGACGCGCCUCGAAACGCUCGGCGGCGUGGCACCGGCUUUAAGCGUAGCAGAAUCUUUCGCUUUGGAAGUCGGGGCCCCGUCUGCCGGAAGACCUACUCGCAAGGUUGACCUCGGAUCAGGCAGGGAUACCCGCUGAACUUAAGCAUAUCAAUAAGCGGAGGA
rnacentral:misc_RNA from 1 species